AGCAGCCGCGGUAAUUCCAGCUCCAAUAGCGUAUAUUAAAGUUGCUGCAGUUAAAAAGCUCGUAGUUGAAUUUCGGGACUAAUAUGUCGGUCGUGCCUCGGUACGUACUGGCUUAUUGGUUUCUCCUUUCUGAAGAACCAUGAUGUCAUUUAUUUGGUGUCGUGGGGAAUCAGGACUGUUACUUUGAAAAAAUUAGAGUGUUUAAAGCAGGCUCACGCUUGAAUACAUUAGCAUGGAAUAAUGAAAUAGGACGUUUGAUUCUAUUUUGUUGGUUUCUAGGAUCGACGUAAUGAUUAAUAGGGAUAGUUGGGGGCAUUAGUAUUCAAUUGUCAGAGGUGAAAUUCUUGGAUUUAUUGAAGACUAACUACUGCGAAAGCAUUUGCCAAGGAUGUUUUCAUUAAUCAAGAACGAAAGUUAGGGGAUCGAAGACGAUCAGAUACCGUCGUAGUCUUAACCAUAAACUAUGCCGACUAGGGAUCGGAUGAUGUUAAUUUUUAAUGACUCA
rnacentral:rRNA from 1 species